rnacentral:rRNA from 1 species
UACGUAGGUGGCAAGCGUUAUCCGGAUUUACUGGGUGUAAAGGGCGUGUAGGCGGGAUGGUAAGUCAGAUGUGAAAACUAUGGGCUCAACUCAUAGCCUGCAUUUGAAACUGCUGUUCUUGAGUACUGGAGAGGCAGACGGAAUUCCUAGUGUAGCGGUGAAAUGCGUAGAUAUUAGGAGGAACACCAGUGGCGAAGGCGGUCUGCUGGACAGCAACUGACGCUGAGGCGCGAAAGCAUGGGUAGCCAACAGG